AAGGAACACGGAGUUUGCAAAGUAAAAAUUAACUCUUAUUUGCAGAAAAAAGUAGCCUCCCUUCAUUUAACAACGAACAGUUCACAAAGGCCGUACCUGUCAGACACUGGGUGAUCUAGACUGUCCUAAGGAUGGGGGGUGGAAGAUGAGCUAAACAGCACUUCAUUACGUGGGCCGGGCAGGUAGUGAUGGGUGCGGUGAAGAAAGUUAGAGGGAGGAGAUGCAGUAGAAGGGAACAGGAGGGCGGUGAGUUCAAGAGGCUCUUCAGAGGAACUGGCUGGGCGCGCCUUGGACAGCAAGACAAAGCCCUGCGAAGGCUCUGAGGUGGUAAUGGUUGCGAAUGUCCAAAGAGCAGCAAGAAGGCUUCAGGAAAUCUAUAGAAGCAGAAUUGGACAUUUAAAGGGACAGGAGCAGAGUAUUGGCCUUUGAGUGGUGACGGUUACUCUGGCGUGCUUCAAGAUCGCAGUCUGUGGGUGCAGGUACGUGGGCACAUUUGGGUGGAGAGGUAGGGUAGGAAUUUGUUAGUGUUCAGUUUGAGAUAGGGUUUUUUUGUUAGAAACAGGGUCUCACUAUGUAACCCUAGCUAGUCUCCGAUUCACAGAAAUCCACCUGCCUCAGCAUCCCGAGUGCUGAGAUUAAAGGUUUGUAUUACC
rnacentral:lncRNA from 1 species